rnacentral:rRNA from 1 species
GGUUAAGCGACUAAGCGUACACGGUGGAUGCCCUGGCAGUCAGAGGCGAUGAAGGGCGUGCUAAUCUGCGAUAAGCGCCGGUAAGGUGAUAUGAACCGUUAUAACCGGCGAUACCCGAAUGGGGAAACCCAGUGUGAUUCGUCACACUAUCAUUAACUGAAUCCAUAGGUUAAUGAGGCGAACCGGGGGAACUGAAACAUCUAAGUACCCCGAGGAAAAGAAAUCAACCGAGAUUCCCCCAGUAGCGGCGAGCGAACGGGGAGGAGCCCAGAGCCUGAAUCAGCAUGUGUGUUAGUGGAAGCGUCUGGAAAGGCGCGCGAUACAGGGUGACAGCCCCGUACACAAAAGCGCAUGUGCUGUGAGCUCGAUGAGUAGGGCGGGACACGUGGUAUCCUGUCUGAAUAUGGGGGGACCAUCCUCCAAGGCUAAAUACUCCUGACUGACCGAUAGUGAACCAGUACCGUGAGGGAAAGGCGAAAAGAACCCCGGCGAGGGGAGUGAAAAAGAACCUGAAACCGUGUACGUACAAGCAGUGGGAGCACAGGUUUACCUGUGUGACUGCGUACCUUUUGUAUAAUGGGUCAGCGACUUAUAUUCUGUAGCAAGGUUAACCGUAUAGGGGAGCCGGAGGGAAACCGAGUCUUAAU